CUCCAAGGAACAUUCAACGCUGUCGGUGAGUUUGGGAUUUGAAAAAACCACCGACCGUUGACUGUACCUUGGGC
rfam:Myotis lucifugus cont2.31946, whole genome shotgun sequence.